UGUGGUAUAUCGGAUUCGAACCGAUGUUUCCUGCUUGGAAGGCAGGGGUGCUAGACCAGACUACACUAAUACCAC
rnacentral:tRNA from 1 species